rnacentral:rRNA from 1 species
UACGAAGGGGGCUAGCGUUGUUCGGAAUUACUGGGCGUAAAGCGCGCGCAGGCGGCUCAUCAAGUCAGAGGUGAAAGCCCAGGGCUCAACCCUGGAAUUGCCGUUGAAACUGGUGAGCUUGAGUACGGGAGAGGUGAGUGGAAUUCCGAGUGUAGAGGUGAAAUUCGUAGAUAUUCGGAAGAACACCAGUGGCGAAGGCGGCUCACUGGCCCGUAUCUGACGCUCAGGCGCGACAGCGUGGGGAGCAAACAGG